GCAGGGGCCAACUGGCAGGAGCCUCCGAAAUAGCAGCACAUGAUCCUCCUACCAGCAGCAGAAAGGCCAGCCCGCAAGACCUCGCCGCCUGCCCAGCUCUGUCAUUGACUAAGGUUGCUUUUGUCAGUACAGCCGCCAGGGGUUUCCACGCUCAUUCCCCUCCGGACAAGGUGGACAGCUUUGGUGAUAGACAACUGGGAGGUAAAACUCCACAGAGCCAUGCCAGCGACUGACCGCCCAGGGACAGGAGAUGGAGACGUUCAGCUGCAAAGGCUACGGAGGAACCCCCGCAAUUGGAAUCUCUCCAUGCCUUCUGCAGCAUGGAAACAUACUCCGGGACCUACCGGGGCUCUCUCGGGCCACCUCUGAGUGCAAGGGAAAAGAGUGCAGUUCAAGGAAGGGAAUGUGUCUGUCAUCCCACCACUUGCGCGCAAGGCCAGUUCCGGGAUCAGCAGGCUUCCUUCACCAGCACGGGCUCUUCAUUAGCAACCACUGGGAGGGAAUGUGUGCGGAGUCAGUGAGUGAAGCUCUCCUUCAGCAAUUUCUCUCCUCCUCUCAUAUUUCUCCCCUCUCUCUCUCUCUUUCUCCCUCCCUCCCUCCCUCCCUCCUUCGCUCCCUCUGGGUCCAGGACAAUACUCAGGCCAGGACAGUUCCAGUCAUAACUGGAUCUUUCCAUUACUUGGUAGCACACAGGAGGAUUUGUUGGAGUGGUUUUUUGUUUUGUUUUGUUCUGCUACUAUUAAGCAAGAUUGCUUCAUAAUCCUUUAAGGGUUUUUUUUAGCCAAGUCUUAUUUACAUAUCCUGGCCAGCAAGCACGUGAUUAACCCAAGGAUGUUGGAGGGAAGGCAGAUGCUACAUCUGAAAAAAAUCUGAUUAUGUUUCAUUCUGGAGAUACAAACAGCCGAGCUGUCAAAAGGACAACAGUCUCUUGGGCCAACAUGACACCAAACUCUCAAACUCUGGAGACCCUCAGAGACAAGGAGGAGGAGCUGCUGAGUUCAAACAAGAACAAUGAAUUCCUCAAGCCCAAGCAAGAAUGUGACAAGGUGUCAACAAAGCCAACCAGGAAGGUGAUGUAUGGCCCAUAAAUCACUUCACAAACCAGGGCUGCAAAGAAAGCACCCAGCAACCCAGAGCCCCGAGUGUGAGUUUUUUCUACUCCUAAACCUUCACACCCCCCACAUCCACCCUCCUCCAGCACCUCACUGACUGCUCACCUGUCACUCCUCCACUGACCAAUUGGCCUACUCAUGGGUGUCAAGAUGGGAAGGCACAUGUUCCUAUCUUGACAGCAGCAGAAAGAAAAAUGGCAGCAGAAGGAAAACAGCAGCAGAAAGAAAAAUUUGACUCAGAUGGGUUGAGAGGGCAAUGGCAAGCAAUCUUGGUACAUGUCAGCUGCAUCUCAGCAAUCUACAGAAAAUGUGGAGGGACUUCCUUCUGACCUUUUUGUAAAAGGAACAGAAGAUGUCAACAAGAUAACAAACAACGUAGGUGGAACACAGGAUAUCUCGAAAUGUGUACCUUCAUCAGCCAUUUUUCAUGACAAACACUUUGAAAUGUCCCAGCAUUACACAUAGUUUAAAAAUUCUGCAUUAAGUUAAAACUCAUUAAUCCUGUAAGAGUUCUUAUGAUUCAUGAGCAUGGGAAGCCUUGUUGUAAAUACAGUGCGAUCAUCUCUCCUAGAUUAACUACAGUGUCUGGAACUGCAUUCCCACACAUCUGCCUCAGCUUUUACUAUGGACUUUAAUUAGGGAACUUAAUGCUUUGGUGGCAUUCUCAAAUUUGGAUAUUUCUAUUUGAGAUCCAGAGAGAGACGGGAAAAGCAACUGAAUUUAUUGAGCACUCACGAUGCGCCAAGCACUGUGCAUUGAGCUGCCUAGACCAGGAAGGGUGGGACCCCUGUGCGGCGAGGAUGCAGGCUCAUGCCCCAGACAUGACAUCACAUUACCACUCUGCCCGCUCAGAAUCACUGACUUAGGAGGCCAAAAACGAUUAAGCGAGUCAAUGGCUAAGGUCACAGACAGCCAUAGAGAAAAGGGCCUCGGGAAAACAGCAUCUACAAAUCCCAUAUGGAUCACUGCGGCUGAUUUUAUUAGAAUACUGAAACACAUAAAGUAAUCUGCAGGGAUAUUUAACCACAUUCCACUCUAGACUACUCAAACUUAUGUACUUUCAGCCCCAUAAUUAAAUAUGAAACAAAACUGAAUUGAGGCAAGGAAACCAAAAGAUUAAUACAGUACAAAUAUGGGGGGAAGUUUCUUGCUUCUAUAAACUUGAACAGUAUAUUCAACAGAUUUAAACUUGAACAGUAUAUUCAACAGAUUUUAAAUCUGUUGAUAAUUACGGUAUCACAUGUAAGUAUUCAUUUAAGCAUUACCAUGUCCAGGCUACUUUCUUUUCUCCCCAGUUUCAGUGCUCUUAGACAGUCCUCAUGGUUCAGCUGUCACAGCCAGGACAAUCAAUUUUCCAACUGGUCUUCUCCAGUGCCACACUCCCAGUUCCCCACACGUCAGUCGGCAACCUUCCCCCUCAGACUGUACCACUGCAGACACGGCCAUUGUCCUCUCCUGCCUGGGAUCACUGCAACCUUCCAGGUCAUUUCCACUCCAAGCCAUCCUCAAUGUCCCAAAGUUUCCUUCUCAUUUAGAUAUGUUUUGUCCAUGAUGUUCUGUUGGAACUUGGCAGUGAAUGUCUUAAGAGACGAAUUCUAAAAUCCUCCUCUUCAAUGUCUACUACUGGAGAGGUCUCUUCUGCUCAUCUCUCUCUCCUGGGCACUUCACCUAUUUAUUACCACAUAGAUCAUGUGGCACUCUCUUAACCUCACCCAACCCUGCUUAUUUAUUCACUACUUCUGCACAUGAACCCAAUACCUUUCAUGUUGGAAUUCUUUUGAUAUGUCUCUGUGAUACAUCUGAAAGUUGUCAGUUUUAGCCUUUCAACCAUAAGAGCAGAUGGAAAUGGAAAAAGAGUAAAUGCCUCAUAAACCAUUAGAUAAGACAAGGGAAAAGCUGAAGAUAGCAAGCUAAGUGUUAGAAGUUAUAUAAAUAACAGGAACAAUUUCAUUCACCCUAUUGUAGUAUAUGAAAUUUUAAUUAUUAUUAUUAUUAUUUUUUGAAACAGAGUCUCGCUCUGUCACCCAGGCCAGAGUACAGUGGUGCAAUCUCAGCUCACUGCAACCUCCACCUCCCGAGUUCAAGAGAUUCUUUGGCCUCAGUCUCCCGAGUAGCUGGGAUUACAGCAGCGCGCCACCAUGCUCAGCUAAUUUUUGUAUUUUUUUCUUUAGUAGAGAUGGGGUUUCACCAUGUUGGCCAGGCAGGUCUCGAACUCCUGACCUCAGGUGAUCCACCUGCCUUGGCCUCCCCAGGUGCUGGGAUUGUAGGCGUGAGCCCCCGCAUCCAGCUAGUGUAUGAAAUUUUAAUUGCUGAUACUUACUGCUGUUACCUUAUGAUUGCAAGGUGCUUUAUUUGUACAAAUUAUUUGUACAAAUUAUUUGCACAAAUUGUACUUUGUACAAAUUUGUACAAAGUACAAAUUACUUUCAAAUUAUUUGUACAAAUUAUUAUUUGUACAAACUGUACCUUGUACAAAUUUGUACAAAGUACAAAUUACUUUCUUAUAUUAUUCUGACCACAACCCAGACAGGAAGACAAAGAAGAUAUGACAAUUAUUAUCCCUCUUUUACAUAAGAGCAAGCAGGUUCAAGGAUAAGUCACCUGUCCAAGGUCACAAAGCUAGAAAUUCAUUAAGUCAGAAUGCAAGUCAGAAAGGCCUUUCAUCACGAACGUAGUGUUCCAUCUACCAUAUCAUUUGAAGUCUCAUUCAGAACCGUGAUUAGUGGGUUAGAAAAACAGGACAUAGUGAGAAAGACUUGGGAAUGUUAUUGUGGAAAAUGGAAAGCUGACAACAUAUUUUCACAGGGUUUAAAACUAAUGAUUUUUUGUUGUUGUUGUUGUUUUGAGACAGAGUCUCGCUUUGUUGCCCAGGCAGUGGCAUGAUCUUGGCUCACUCCAAACUCCGCCUCCUGAGUUCAAGCUGCUCGCUGGAAUUACAGGUGCCCGCCACCACAGCUGUCUAAUUUCUUGGUUUUUGUUUUUGUUUUUGAGAUGGAGUUUCGCUCUUGUCACCCAGGCUGGAGUGCCAUGGUGCAAUCUCAGCUCACUGCAACCUCUGCCUCCCAGGUUCAAGUGAUUCUCCGGCUUCAGCCUCCCAAGUAGCUAGGAUUACAGGCAUGCGCCACCACACCCGGCUAAUUUUUUGUAUUUUUAGUAGAGAUGGGGUUUCACCUUGUUGGCCAGGCUGGUCUCGAACUCCUGACCUCAAGUGAUUGACCUGCCUCGGCCUCCGAAAGUGCUGGAAUUACAGGCCUGAGCCACUGUGCCAGGCCAAAAUAAUGGUAUUUUGAGCAUUUACUAGGUACUGGAUACUUUAGCUGAAACUACAAUGGAGAUAUUACCAGCCUCAUUUCACAAAAGAAGAAAUUUAGUCUCAGAGAGGUAACAAAGGCCUAAGGUUAGUAAGUGAUAAGGUUCAGACUCAAAUGCAGAUAUGUUAAGACCCAAAGUACGUACACUUUACAGUACCCCAAGUAGGAAGAUAUAUUUUGAAGAGGAACAUAGCAGAUGUUCUCUGUCACCAUUAAGAACAAGACAAGAGGAAAUGGACUAAGAACCGUAAAAGGAGAAAUUCUAGGUUGAAUACAUGAAGACCCUCCUGUCACAGGAAAGACGAUUAAACUUGUACACCACUGUCAAGGAUGCUCAUGAAAUCUCCUUUCUAAAUUGCUUUUUUCAUACACAUAAGGAUGUUUUUCUACCAAAGAUAACUUCAAGACUGCAAGUGAAUUAAUCUAAACAUUUUCUUGGACACAAAAAUAUCUCAGACUCAAAAAUAAAAAAAUAAAUAAAAGCACAGGAUAAAACACCCAAAUUUUCAUACAAAUUGGGAAAUUUUGUGUUUGCCUUAUGGAUAUAAAAUGUCAGCUUCUCUAAAUGUUUAUUGUAAUAUAUUUGUUUCAAAGAUAGCAAAUAGUAAGUCUGAA
rnacentral:lncRNA from 1 species